AUUGAACGCUGGCGGCAUGCCUUACACAUGCAAGACGAACGGCAGCACGGGAGCAAUCCUGGUGGCGAGUGGCGAACGGGUGAGUAAUAUAUCGGAACGUGCCCAGUCGUGGGGGAUAACGCAGCGAAAGCUGUGCUAAUACCGCAUACGAUCUCUGGAUGAAAGCGGGGGACUCGCAAGAGCCUCGCGCGAUUGGAGCGGCCGAUAUCAGAUUAGCUAGUUGGUGGGGUAAAAGCUCACCAAGGCGACGAUCUGUAGCUAGUCUGAGAGGACGACCAGCCACACUGGAACUGAGACACGGUCCAGACUCCUACGGGAGGCAGCAGUGGGGAAUUUUGGACAAUGGGCGCAAGCCUGAUCCAGCAAUGCCGCGUGCAGGAUGAAGGCCUUCGGGUUGUAAACUGCUUUUGUACGGAACGAAACGGCUCUUUCUAAUAAAGAGAGCUAAUGACGGUACCGUAAGAAUAAGCACCGGCUA
rnacentral:rRNA from 1 species